GUGCUCACUAUGGCAGCAUAUAUAUUAAAUUGGAAUGAUACAGAGAAUAUUAGUAUGGCCCCUUGCAAGGAUGACACGCAAAUUCAUAAAGCAUUUCAUAUUUUA
ensembl:snRNA U6 U6 spliceosomal RNA